GGAGGCUAAGCUGAUACGGGAAACCCGCUUAUCAGUAUGAAUAACUCCACCUCCUUCAAUGUGAAGAGAAGGUUAAGCCAUUGACGUUUUUCUGUAUUAUAUGCCUUUUUUCGAAGAAUGUUCACAUGCUUUAUUGUGAGCUUAAUAUUAUUCUUUGUAUGUUUCCUUUGCAUGUGGGAUUAUGAUGUUGUAUUCAAGAACUAGGCUCGUGGAGAGACCAAGACACCAAAACGGUUCAUCAACGGCACCAUCAGUAGUGAUAUCCACCGCAAGUUUCUGCGGUCAAGGUCUCACCUGAAGAUGGCCACUUCCUGCAUCUUUCUCAGGGCUCCCUUGCCGGGGCCAAGAAGGACGGCAAGGUGACCACAAAGGCACUGUUGCUGACGCUGCCACACAGGGAACUCUCGCAUUUUAGCCUCCUGGCAUCCUGGAUGGAGAAUUCGUCUAGUCCUUUUGCCGCCAGCCAGGGGCCAUGUUUCUCGGGUGGUGUCACAGCGUUUAAUCUACCUUUUAGUAGUAGCAACAACUACGCAGAGUAGGCUGAUCCUCUGGAUGGUGGCGACCUCAGUAUAGCUCUUGCUGGUGCUGAAUACCACGGCACCACCACAACCUAAGGCUCCCUGUCGCGGCCUAAAUGAAGUAUAAUGGCUGCUAAUAUAAAGAGUUAUAAAUUAUAGGUCCGUUGCAAGUGUGGUUCUCUUGCAUUAUUGAUGGUAGAUAUAUUUAGGUAACAAAUUCUAUGUCUACUCGGGAUUUGCAUGAUUUCAUUCAUAGAUAGUAUGCUUGGUACCCAUUACACGGUGAAAUAGUUGAGAUAAGAAAUGGAUGUGUCACAAGUUAGGAUCUCUCACUGCUAAAUUGAUUGGUGCAUAUUAUUAGGUAUUGCAUGUACUGUUACAAAUAAGGAUGGUCUCGAGGCUGGAUAUAUUUUGUUUUGAGGUCUUCAACUAGUUAAAUUGACUAAACCUAAACCCCUGUCUUCUCUCUGAUUUUCACAUGGAAGUGAAACUAUAAUUUAUUCAAACAUGCAUACACACUAGGUAUCUCAGUAUACGGAUUAGUAUUGGUAACCUGCUUGUUUGACAUGUUUGGAUGCUUGGUAUGUUUUUUUUCCGCCAUUAUGUUGAGAUUUCACACCUGUUGGGAACGAGCGGUACAAUUUUUUGCGUCUUUGUUGUGUUUAUGGGCAGUGGAGUGGUGGGAAUGAGGAUUCACUUAGUUGUGCGAAGUCACCUUCUGAGCUAAACUUGAACUUUUUGAGGCAUUAAUUCUUUCUAACCUACAAAACUUACUAGCUGGCAUUAGAACACAAACUUUUGGGUGCUUUUUUUAACUCAUACAUUAUGUCUAAUGCUUGGAGUCGUUCAAACUUGGUUUGGAAAGUUUUGGGAACAUAUCGCCAAAUUGCAGAGCAAAGAGGCUUGAUAAAGUAGGGAAUUUUUUUGCGUUGAAGAGAAGCAAUUAUUAAUGCAGUUCUCCGUGCUGCUCAGACUUACUCUACUGCAACGAACUCGAACAAUCCGCAAGAUAUACACUCCAUUUAUACAUUUACGUACUGUAAUGCAAAUCUGUAUUUAGGAAUGGCUCUUUCUUUGUAGGAGUAACUAAUAAUGUAGGACAUCUGCCACUACUGUAAAAACCAUAC